AGAGUAACGGAGGCGCUCAAAGGUUCCCUCAGAAUGGUUGGAAAUCAUUCGCAGAGUGUAAAGGCACAAGGGAGCUUGACUGCGAGACCUACAAGUCGAGCAGGGUCGAAAGACGGACUUAGUGAUCCGGUGGUUCCGUAUGGAAGGGCCAUCGCUCAACGGAUAAAAGCUACCCCGGGGAUAACAGGCUUAUCUCCCCCAAGAGUUCACAUCGACGGGGAGGUUUGGCACCUCGAUGUCGGCUCAUCGCAUCCUGGGGCUGUAGUCGGUCCCAAGGGUUGGGCUGUUCGCCCAUUAAAGCGGUACGCGAGCUGGGUUCAGAACGUCGUGAGACAGUUCGGUCCCUAUCCGUCGUGGGCGUAGGAAAUUUGAGAGGAGCUGUCCUUAGUACGAGAGGACCGGGAUGGACAUACCUCUGGUGUACCAGUUGUCGCGCCAGCGGCAUAGCUGGGUAGCUAUGUAUGGACGGGAUAAGUGCUGAAAGCAUCUAAGCAUGAAGCCCCCCUCAAGAUGAGAUUUCCCAACUUCGGUUAUAAGAUCCCUCAAAGAUGAUGAGGUUAAUAGGUUCGGGGUGUAAGCGCAGUAAUGUGUGUAGCUGACGAAUACUAAUCGAUCGAAGACUUAAUCAA
rnacentral:ncRNA from 1 species